rnacentral:rRNA from 1 species
AGAGUUUGAUCCUGGCUCAGGACGAACGCUGGCGGCGCGCCUAACACAUGCAAGUCGAACGAGAGAUGAGGAGCUUGCUCUUCAAAUCGAGUGGCGAACGGGUGAGUAACGCGUGAGGAACCUGCCUCAAAGAGGGGGACAACAGUUGGAAACGACUGCUAAUACCGCAUAAGCCCACGGCUCGGCAUCGAGCAGAGGGAAAAGGAGCAAUCCGCUUUGAGAUGGCCUCGCGUCCGAUUAGCUAGUUGGUGAGGUAACGGCCCACCAAGGCAACGAUCGGUAGCCGGACUGAGAGGUUGAACGGCCACAUUGGGACUGAGACACGGCCCAGACUCCUACGGGAGGCAGCAGUGGGGAAUAUUGCACAAUGGGGGAAACCCUGAUGCAGCGACGCCGCGUGGAGGAAGAAGGUCUUCGGAUUGUAAACUCCUGUUGUUGAGGAAGAUAAUGACGGUACUCAACAAGGAAGUGACGGCUAACUACGUGCCAGCAGCCGCGGUAAAACGUAGGUCACAAGCGUUGUCCGGAAUUACUGGGUGUAAAGGGAGCGCAGGCGGGAAGACAAGUUGGAAGUGAAAUCCAUGGGCUCAACCCAUGAACUGCUUUCAAAACUGUUUUUCUUGAGUAGUGCAGAGGUAGGCGGAAUUCCCGGUGUAGCGGUGGAAUGCGUAGAUAUCGGGAGGAACACCAGUGGCGAAGGCGGCCUACUGGGCACCAACUGACGCUGAGGCUCGAAAGUGUGGGUAGCAAACAGGAUUAGAUACCCUGGUAGUCCACACCGUAAACGAUGAUUACUAGGUGUUGGAGGAUUGACCCCUUCAGUGCCGCAGUUAACACAAUAAGUAAUCCACCUGGGGAGUACGACCGCAAGGUUGAAACUCAAAGGAAUUGACGGGGGCCCGCACAAGCAGUGGAGUAUGUGGUUUAAUUCGACGCAACGCGAAGAACCUUACCAAGUCUUGACAUCCCUUGACGAUGCUGGAAACAGUAUUCCUCUUCGGAGCAAGGAGACAGGUGGUGCAUGGUUGUCGUCAGCUCGUGUCGUGAGAUGUUGGGUUAAGUCCCGCAACGAGCGCAACCCUUAUGGUCAGUUACUACGCAAGAGGACUCUGGCCAGACUGCCGUUGACAAAACGGAGGAAGGUGGGGAUGACGUCAAAUCAUCAUGCCCUUUAUGACUUGGGCUACACACGUACUACAAUGGCGUUAAACAAAGAGAAGCAAGACCGCGAGGUGGAGCAAAACUCAGAAACAACGUCCCAGUUCGGACUGCAGGCUGCAACUCGCCUGCACGAAGUCGGAAUUGCUAGUAAUCGUGGAUCAGCAUGCCACGGUGAAUACGUUCCCGGGCCUUGCACACACCGCCCGUCA